UACAGGGGGGGCAAGCGUUGUUCGGAAUUACUGGGCGUAAAGGGCUCGUAGGCGGCCAACUAAGUCACACGUGAAAUCCCCAGGCUUAACCUGGGAACUGCGUGUGAUACUGGAUGGCUUGAAUCCGGGAGAGGGAUGCGGAAUUCCAGGUGUAGCGGUGAAAUGCGUAGAUAUCGGGAGGAACACCAGUGGCGAAGGCGGCGACCUGGACGGACACUGACGCUGAGACGCGAAAGCGUGGGGAGCAAACAGG
rnacentral:rRNA from 1 species